GAUGAACGCUAGCGGCAGGCUUAACACAUGCAAGUCGAGGGGUAGAGGCUUUCGGGCCUUGAGACCGGCGCACGGGUGCGUAACGCGUAUGCAAUCUGCCUUGUACUGGGGGAGAGCCCAGAGAAAUUUGGAUUAAUACCCCAUAGUAUUUUCGGUUGUCAUCAACUGAUUAUUAAAGUUUUUCGGUACAAGAUGAGCAUGCGUCCCAUUAGCUAGUUGGUAUGGUUACGGCAUACCAAGGCUACGAUGGGUAGGGGUCAUGAGAGGGAGAUCCCCCACACUGGUACUGAGACACGGACCAGACUCCUACGGGAGGCAGCAGUGAGGAAUAUUGGUCAAUGGUCGCAAGGCUGAACCAGCCAUGCCGCGUGCAGGAUGAAGCAUCUAUGGUGUGUAAACUGCUUUUGUACGGGAAGAAACACUCCUACGUGUAGGGGCCUGACGGUACCGUAAGAAUAAGGAUCGGCUAACUCCGUGCCAGCCGCCGCGGUAACAC
rnacentral:rRNA from 1 species